AAAAUCUGAUGAGGCAUAGUUCAUUUGACUUACAAAGAAUGAUAACUAAUCUAACUAUCUUUGAAAUUGGUCUUUCACCCCUACCUGACAUAUUUG